rnacentral:lncRNA from 1 species
GCUUCCUAUGCACUGAGGAACCUCCAGCUGGCUGGUACUUGAGUAGAAGGCAGACUGCAGACCCUGUUGGAGCAGCCACCCCAGAGAGACUCCACAGCAAAGGAGAGCAGGACAGAGGCAUGGCAGAAGGAGGACACUGUGGGAAAAGGGGCCUGAUGGAACUGAAGGGGUGGAGGAGGUACCAGUGAUAACCUGUCAUGAUCAGUUUUGUCCCGCAAUCAUCUGAUCUCGUAUCCUCGUCACUCCUUAUUCUGAUUGUGCCCAUUGGGCAAAGCAGACCGCAUCAUUUUACCCCAUGGAAACUGUGGGCCAGAAACUUGCCUCUGAGACCACACAAUUUAUCAGCGGAAAAGGACAAAACCCCCACUCCCACGUGCAUUUUUUUUUUUUUUCUGGAAGGACUGAAACCAGCAUAGCCAUGGCUACAAGCUUAGAGAUCAUCUGAGCCCAAACCACACUUCUUGGUGAUACACAGUCUGAACUUAAGUCUUCAACUAAAUUCAACAACCUUACUUUGUAAGCCAAAAUAGAGUUGAGCAUAGCCCUCACCUUCUGGUGUCUGCUUCUCUUUGUUUCAUUCAUAAGAGCAGAAGCUUAUUUUCCCAAUUUUUCUUUUGCUUUCAAGAAUCCUUCAUUCACUCAGCCAACAAAUGUUUUCUGAGUGUCUGUUGGGUAUUAGUACUCUGCAAUGUGCUAGAAAAAAGCUGGAUUGAUCUAGUUCCAUGAAUCAGGCAAGAGGAAAGCUCAUAAAGCGUGCAGACAAUUUCUAGAAUGGUACUGUGACGUUAUGGGAAAAAAUGUAGGCUUUGAAGUCAGAUACUAUUGAGUUUAAACUCCAACUCAAUUACUUACAGGUUUUG